AUAUUAAAUAAUAAUACUUGUGAGUACUAAUAGUUAAGUAGUUCAAUCAACUAUGGAAUAUGGAAAUGAAACCGGUUAGUUCAUGGUCUUUUUGAUUCCUCUAAUUUGUGCUUGUUUUUUUUAAUUUUUACUACAAUACCAUUUGCUUACGAAUCUUAUAUGUUCCUUAUUUUCCUUUUAAAUAAUGUUAUUUAAAUCAAUAUAGUGCAUAAUUAUAGUAAAUGCAUAUCUAUGUUAGUUAUAAUAUAUUUUAAAAUGAGAAAUAUGAGAAAUUAAUAAGUUCAUUAAUCUUUUGACUAAUCUUCAGUUUUUAUUCGCCCUUGCUUUUGUCGAAAAAAUCUGUUUAUAACUCAUAGAUAUCAAU